rfam:Ovis aries breed Texel chromosome 3, whole genome shotgun sequence.
UCCCUGGUGGUCCAGUGGUUAAGGCUCCAUGCUCCCAAUGCAAGGGGCCCGGGUUCAAUCCCUGGUCAGGGAA